rnacentral:misc_RNA from 1 species
GCUUGGCAUACAUAUGAAUAUUCAAGUACAUACAAGUCUAUGAGCAAUUAGAUGCUCUCUAAGUUCCACAUAAGACCAUAAACUGCAAGUACAAUAACUUCUUCCACCACUUUUCUAGUACCACUGCCACUAGUCCAACUACUACUAUAGUAAUACUACUACCACUGUUUGCAUCAAAAGCAGAUUCAAGGUAUCCCCAGAUCUAGCCAUUGCUUCAGACAUAGCAAACAGAAAUAACCCAGAAAAAAAAAUUUAAAAAUAAAACAGCUAACCCUAACUAUGCUACUAAAAAACCAUAACUUGUACCAAAAGAAAAAGAAAAGAAAAGUACCCACAUACAAGGUAAUGACUAUGAAGAGAGUAGCAAUAUUGUAGGCUGCUUGAUGAAAGGGCUUUUUCUUCUUCUUCUUCU